rnacentral:rRNA from 1 species
ACGGAAGGCAGCAGUGGGGAAUAUUGCACAAUGGGGGAAACCCUGAUGCAGCGACGCCGCGUGAAGGAAGAAGUAUCUCGGUAUGCAAACUUCUAUCAGCAGGGAAGAAAAUGACGGUACCUGACUAAGAAGCCCCGGCUAACUACGUGCCAGCAGCCGCGGUAAUACGUAGGGGGCAAGCGUUAUCCGGAUUUACUGGGUGUAAAGGGAGCGUAGACGGAAUUGCAAGUCUGAUGUGAAAGGCAUGGGCUCAACCUGUGGACUGCAUUGGAAACUGUGAUUCUUGAGUGCCGGAGGGGUAAGCGGAAUUCCUGGUGUAGCGGUGAAAUGCGUAGAUAUCAGGAGGAACACCGGUGGCGAAGGCGGCUUACUGGACGGCAACUGACGUUGAGGCUCGAAGGCGUGGGGAGCAAACAGGAUUAGAUACCCUGGUA